GACGAACGCUGGCGGCGUGCCUAAUACAUGCAAGUAGGACGCAGUUGCGAACGGGUGAGUAACGCGUAGGUAACUACCUAUUAGAGGGGGAUAACUAUUGGAAACGAUAGCUAAUACCGCAUACUAGUAGAUGGACCUGCGUUGUAUUAGCUAGUAGGUAGGGUAAUGGCCUACCUAGGCAACGAUACAUAGCCGACCUGGGGAGGUGGUCGGCCACACUGGGACUGGGACACGGCCCCGGCUCCUAAGGGAGGCAGCAGUAGGGAAUCUUCGGCAAUGGGGGGAACCCUGACCGAGCAACGGCGCGGGAGUGGAGAAGGUUUUCGGAUCGUAAAGCUCUGUUCUUAAGGGAGCGGUACUUAACCAGAAAGGGACGGCUAACUACGUGCCAGCAGCCGCGGUAAUAC
rnacentral:rRNA from 1 species